GCGGAACUCGGGCGAGCCAGGUGGGGCUCAGGGUGGUGGUGCGGUUCCGCGGGACAGGAACCCAGGCCGGGCACAGGCGGCUCCGGAUCCCCCUGGAAGAUCCCCGCUCUUCACGGGGCUGAGCUCGGCCACCGGGACAGAGACCUUGUCGGAACAGGCGCGAGUUCCUGACGCCUGUGCUCCCGGGCUGCAGCCGCGCGGGGACAGCAGGGCAAAGCCUGUCCUCGCGGCCCUGCCGGUCCCCGGUGCAGCCUCGGCUCCGGUGGCAGGUUGCGCAGGUGAGAAGGGCCGUUCCCAUGUGGCCAGUGGCAGUGCCCAGGCGGUGUGGCGUCCGAGUGCCAGGCCCCGGGGGCACGCAGAGCACGGGGCACCCUCUGCGGUGCCGGGCAGGCUGAGCACCUGGGGCCUGUCCCCAGUGAGUGGGCGCGGUGAGGGGCCCCGUCCCUCGGGCGCCCCUUCGUCACCCGGGUGUCCCCGAGUACUGCUGGCUAUGGUGCCAGACACCGCGAGGGAGUGACAAGACCCGAGUGCGGGGCCUCUGGAGCCAAGUCCCCGGGUGCUCGGGUUCUUCUCCUUUCUCCGCACCCUGCAGGCACGGGAGCCACGCGAACGCCUUCGGCUAGCAUCGCCGCAGGCCCACGCCGACCACCUUGAGGCCAAGCGCGACUUCCUGAGGCCUCCUGUCGGGUUGGCCUCGGCUGGGCCUGGCCUUCCGCCACCAUUCAGCCGGGUGGCACAGUCGCGGCCCCGUGCCCCCCGCGCUUGAUUUGGAGGCUCCACUCUGGCUGCUGCAGCCGCCACCUCCGGCCGGGCCCCGCCUACGGCCCUUGGAGCCACGUUUUGAAUGCGAGACUCUCAAGAAUUAAUACUGGUUUUCUAAAAAGAGCAGGUGUGAGUGCUUGGUAAUAGCUGGCAUGCGUUUUGUGCGCCGUGAUCUGCAGAUGACAUGUUUUCCAUCAAGUCGUUCGGUUGGAUCCAGUUCUAAUCUUUGGUGGCAAAAUAAGUGUGCGCUCAACGCAAACUCGGGACGACACAUUGCCGGCAGUUUCCGCUAGACUCGGCGCAGCCGGUAAAGAAGCCCAAGCCCUCAAAGCCAACAGCUGCUAUUGUCCGUGGCCGUCGAGGUAUCACAACUGCCCGAGGAAGAACAGAAAUGGGAUUUGCUGGUGUGUACACUCUGCAUCUAGCUCCGAUCAUCUGCGUCUUCAUCGCACCUGUGGAGGGAAGCGAAAUGUGUCUCCGUGCGUUUGUGCGUGAUGAGGGGAGAACACGGACAGGCUGUGCCUCCUACCUGCCUGGGGGACAUCACAGUGAGCUUGUGUUACCUCUAAACCCUCAAAUCCUAAAGGCAGUCUCGCUGUGAGCAAUGUGUCUGUCGGGGUACCAGCGCUGUGGGACUCUAAAAGCUGGGGGUGCCUUUGGGGAACACCGGUUCAAGCAGCAGGGAGUAGAUGAGAGGUUGUGGCUGUGUUCGUUAAUGCUAGGACCCCACUGAAGGCAGGGAUGGAGCCCCAGAGGACAGAAGGUGCAGCCCUUCUAGGAGUAGGGGCCCCCCUGCCUUACCUGCCAUCCCCCGUGCCCCCAUCCUCUGCCUGGAGCCCCACUUGACAGCGUGCCGUGGCACGAGGACGUUAGAAGUAGACCCUGCUAGGCCCUAUAGGGCAUGAGUUUCUGGGUCACGUCGAGGCACUGAGGGUGCUCAGGCCCACGGGGGGGCUGGAAGAGACUGGGUCCUGCCUUUCCAGCAGCUGGUCCCGGCCCGGGGCCCCAGGACCCUAAAGCCACAGGAACUCCGCGACCAGCAGCGCGUGCGAGCAUCUCACAUCUCUCGAACCCUAGAACCUCGCGACCGGAGAGCGCUUACAAACUGUCUCCUGGAACCCGGACACUUUGUAAUUACGUUUGCAAAGGAGCAUUUAAAGACCACUCCAAAAAUAAAUAAAUGCCAACCACUCCAGAUCUUGCACAACCUGUGCCUCUCAGUGUCGAAUACACAGACUCGGGUGAAGGGAAGAACUCUUCAUAUUAAUUACUUGAUGAUACGUAACGACGGUAAUGAUGUGGCUUAGGUAUCGGGUUAAAUCAAGUGUGCUAAUUAAGGUGUUAUAAAGGCGAAGUUAAAAUGCUUAAUUAAAAUUAAUCUCAGUUA